GCUGAACGCUGGCUGCGCGCCUAAUACAUGCAAGUCGAGCGAAUGGAUUAAGAGCUUGCUCUUGGUGGCGAGUGGCGAACGGGUGAGUAAUAUAUCGGAACGUAUCCAAUAAUGGGGGAUAACUAAUCGAAAGGUUGGCUAAUACCGCAUACGCCCUACGGGGGAAAGCAGGGGAUCUUCGGACCUUGUGUUAAUGGAGCGGCUGAUAUCUGAUUAGCUAAUAGGUGAGGUAAAGGCUCACGUAGGGGACGAUCAGUAGCUGGUCUGAGAGGACGACCAGCCACACUGGAACUGGGACACAGUCCAGGCUCCUACGGGAGGCAGCAGUGAGGAAUUUUGGACAAGGGGGACAACCCUGAUCCAGCCAUUCCGCGUGAGUGAAGAAGGCCUUCGGGUUGUAAAGCUCUUUCGAAAGGGAAGAAACGAUACAGACGAAUAAUCUGUGUUAAUGACGGUACCUUGAUAAGAAGCACCGGCUAACUACGUGCCAGCCGCCGCGGUAA
rnacentral:rRNA from 1 species